AGUUUUUAAAUGAAAGCUCUAUCUUUAAUAACAAAAAAGUUAUGCAAAAUUUUCGAUCUAAAAAAGUACAUGUUAAUUGUAAAAAACCGAAAUUUCGAUUUUUCUCAAAAACUAUAUUUUUUUCAAUUUUGAUAAUUAUGUGCAAGGUGCCCCUUUGCAAGGAGUACUUGACAGUUUUUAAAUGAAAGCUCUAUCUUUAAUAACAAAAAAGUUAUGCAAAAUUUUCGAUCUAAAAAAGUACAUGUUAAUUGUAAAAAACCGAAAUUUCAAUUUUUCUCAAAAACUAUAAUUUUUUCAAUUUUGAUAAUUAUGUGCAAGGUGCCCCUUCGCUAGGAGUACUUAAC